rnacentral:snRNA from 1 species
GUAUUCGCUUCGGUGGUACCUACACUAAACUCGGAACGAUACAGAAAAGAUUAUUGGCUCCUGCGCAAGGAUGACACGCAAAAUCGUGGAGCGUUCCAUGUUUUU